UAUAGAGUAGGUGAUAAAACGACAGAGGAAGAAUAAAUCCUAAUGGUGAAUACACAUCAACUCAUCGUGGAUUGUCUUCCUUAUUCUGUACCACAGGAAGAAUGAAUCCUGAUGGUGAAUACACAUCAACUCUUUGUGGAUUGUCUUCCUUAUUCUGUACGACAGGCUGCGGAGGGGCAACAAAUACACGCUGCUGCUUUACAGAUGGCAUGUCUGCAUGCGGUGUGUGCUGUACUAAUUGCAUCCUUGCAACGCAUGGUAGUAUCAGUCUAUUUGUUGAAAUAAAAUCUGUUAGAGAUUUCCAUAAUUUAGAGUGACUUUUAUCCAAUGUGAUAAAAAAUGGUGUAAACAUAAACAAUAUUUUAUAUAGUCAAUGUUCAUAUAAAUAGCAUAUAAAUUGUAAUGGGUAAUUCAGAGACCAUGAGACACCUAUAUAACAUUAGCGUGGAAUGAAUGUUGUUGUGUGCUGCUGCUCACCUGUUUUUAAAUAACACCAUUUCUGCAAGCUGACUUGCAUCAUUAGGGAAGCUGCAUCACAAGCCUAAAGUCUGAGCAGGGGUUCUUUUUUUUAAGUCAGGAUACAUCCACAUAUCGAGGCUGCUCCCUUUUCUGGGAUCAGACAACAUCUUUGAUUCGCUCCAUUUACCAUUAACAGCAUGUCAAUCAUCCACACUCCUCAUUUGAGGAAAACUACAUAGAGCUGUGUCUUGCAGUCCAAAGACUUGAACUCAAUCUACACUGCAGAGACGAGCGCCUCCACAGAGACCUCGAUUGGAAGACGUUGUCGAGCCCCGGCAAAGUAGAUUGUUACACCGUUUAACUCUCAUCCCUCCGGGGAGAGUUGCAAACAACAAGAAACUCUGGCUGUUAUUACUAUCUUCUUUGUGAUUUCAGACUCGACAUGACAGGAAAGAGUCAGGUGGGGCUUGUCCAUUGCGCCCCCCCAAAGAAACCACGCUGUACUAAGCCAAUCUGGAGAGAACUGUGUACUUACACAUACACAUUUCAUUCAGCACAAGUUGGAUGAUGGAGCAUUUAUAUCUUUUAUAAUAUCUCCACAAGGCUGUGGCCUUCCCUGCAUCAAUGAAGUGUUCUUUUUCCUUCACUGGAUGUAUUUAUUUUUUCAAAAUGUAUAAAUACAAGCCAAAGCAAACAAGAUAAGAGAUGAGUCAGUGGCAGUGAACUUAUUAUUUUUUCAUUCCCCAGCCAACAAUGUUGAGCAUACAAAUACUUAACAGUACUUACCGAAGCAACCACCAAGCUUACGACGUUCUGCCAACAAACCCACAAGGUUUUUGUUGGGAAAAAAAAGGCUUUAUGAUACUUUUGUGACAGCUUUAGCCUAGAAUGACUCAAUUGACUUGAAAAACAAUAUGGCUGAUAAAUAUGAGUAAUUACUAUUUGCCACUAUUUCUGAACUGUGCCCAUUUAUUUUGUUCAAGGGGAACUAUUAUGCUUUUUCCACUUUUUUAUUUUAUCUUAAGCAAGCUGGCGUCAGACCACCCCUCACAAAGCCUAACCUAGACCCAUUAAUUCUGUCCAACUUCCGUUCAAUUUCACAUCUGCCCUUCCUGACCGAGGUCAGGAACGUCAGCCACAUCUGGCCUUCCCUGAUAUUGCUAACAAGCGACAAUCAGGACCGUAUCCGUGUUAUUGAAAGUGCACAAUGACCUUCUCACAGCCCUCGAUUUUAAGAACACUUUCAGACCUUACAGCCGCUUUUGAUACCGUGGACCAUUCAGUCCUCAUUUCCUGCCUGGACCACUGCGUUGGCCUCUGUGCUUCAACUAUUCUUGUUAUAUCUCAUCUAACAGGAUUUUUUCUGUCAUGAUCAAUGAUUUUUCCUCAACAGUACUCACCUCUCCUCUGGCGUGCCCCAUGAUUCAAUCCUUGGGCCUACCUUAUUUUCACUCUAUAUGCUACCAUUAGGACCAAUUAUCUCCAGACACAGUCAUUUUUAUGCUGCUGAUGAACAGCUCUAACUACCAGUAAUGCUGAGUGACAAGAACACACUAGAUCCCCUCCAUAGUUGUCUGCAUGACAUUAAACGACAACUGCCGCGGAAAUUCCUUCAAUUAAAUGAAGGAAAACCGUAGUACUGGCGAAGGUUAUCGAAAGCAGACCUUUAAAAAAAAAGCAAUUAAUGCCUUCAUCAGCUGGAGACGUGAUUAUUGUAACGCCUUCUAUACUGGAGUAAAUCAGUUCCUCCCUUCGUAGGUUGGCCUCCUCACUAAUGCUCCACAACUCCUUAUUUCUAAAACCACAAAUACUUAAACUUGCUGAUAUAGUUCAUCUUCAAUCAGCUAAAAUAAUGCAUAAGGCUAAAAAUAACCAAUAUGAUCUCAUGGAGUAUGGCGUGAUAUGGUAAUGGUCAUGGUUUUAUUUCAUUUGAGUGCAUCACAUAAUCAGUUCACAGUUCC